GCCUGGUAUGAUGGUUCAUGCCUGUAAUCCCAACACUGGGAGGCUGAGAUGGGAGGAUCGCUUGAGGCCAGGAGUUUGAGACCAGCCUGGUCAACAUAGUGAGACCCCAUCUCUA
rnacentral:sRNA from 1 species